rnacentral:rRNA from 2 species
GCAUACUCAAUUUGAAGCUGGCUCCUUCGGGGUCCGCAUUGUAAUUUGCAGAGGAUGCUUCGGGUGCGGCCCCUGUCUAAGUGCCCUGGAACGGGCCGUCAGAGAGGGUGAGAAUCCCGUCUGGGAUGGGGUGUCCGCGCCCGUGUGAAGCUCCUUCGACGAGUCGAGUUGUUUGGGAAUGCAGCUCUAAAUGGGUGGUAAAUUUCAUCUAAAGCUAAAUACUGGCCGGAGACCGAUAGCGAACAAGA